rnacentral:rRNA from 1 species
GACGAACGCUGGCGGCGUGCUUAACACAUGCAAGUCGAACGGAAAGGCCCUGCUUUUGUGGGCUGCUCGAGUGGCUAACGGGUGAGUAACACGUGAGUAACCUGCCCUUGACUUUGGGAUAACUUCAGGAAACUGGGGCUAAUACCGGAUAGGAGCUCCUGCUGCAUGGUGGGGGUUGGAAAGUUUCGACGGUUGGUGAUGGACUCGCGGCUUAUCAGCUUGUUGGUGGGGUAGUGGCUGACCAAGGCUUUGCCGGGUAGCCGGCCUGUGAGGGUGACCGGGGACAAUGGGCCUGAGAUAGGGCGCAGACUGGAACGGGAGGCAGCAGUGGGAAAUAUUGUGCAGUGGGCGGAAGCGUAUUGAGACAACGCCGGGUGCGGGAUGACGGCCUUGGGGUUGUAAACCGAGUUAGCCUGUGACGAAGCGUGAGUGACGGUAAUGGGUAAAGAAGCACCGGCUAACUACGUG